rnacentral:lncRNA from 1 species
UACUGUUGGUGACUUAUGGUUCUGUUGGUGACUUUGAGUUCAGACAACAGUGCGUUCAGUUGACCUUGGGUUUUCAAGUUGGAUUUGGGUUCUGAGUUUAGACUGAAGCUUCGACUUUGUGAUCAGAAUUGCACAACCAGCCAGUCCAGUCUGCAUCAUGUGCAUCAUAGCAUAGUUAUUUUUCAAAAGAAACGCAAUAAAAAAUUGAAAAAAAAAAUCAGAAAAAAAAAGAAAAAAGAGAAAAAAAACUAACC